UACAGAGGUCUCAAGCGUUGUUCGGAUUCAUUGGGCGUAAAGGGUGCGUAGGCGGUGCUGUAAGUCAGGUGUGAAAUCUCGGGGCUCAACCCCGAAACUGCACUUGAUACUGCAGUGCUCGAGGACUGGAGAGGAGAUUGGAAUUCAUGGUGUAGCAGUGAAAUGCGUAGAUAUCAUGAGGAAGACCAGUGGCGAAGGCGGAUCUCUGGACAGUUCCUGACACUGAGGCACGAAGGCCAGGGGAGCAAACGGG
rnacentral:rRNA from 1 species